GAGGAGGAGCCCGGAGAUGGGCACUGAGACAAGGGCCCAGGCCCUAUGGGGCGCAGCAGGCGCGAAAUCUCUGCAAUAGGCGAAAGCUUGACAGGGUUACACUGAGUGGUUCCCGUUAAGGGGAUCCUUUGGCACCUUUAAAAAUGGUGCAGAAUAAGGGGUGGGCAAGUCUGGUGUCAGCCGCCGCGGUAAUACCAGCACCCCGAGUGGUCGGGACGAUUAUUGGGCCUAAAGCAUCCGUAGCCGGUACUGCAAGUCUUCCGUUAAAUCCACCUGCUUAACAGUUGGGCUGCGGGGGAUACUACAGCGCUAGGAGGCGGGAGAGGCAAGCGGUACUCAAUGGGUAGGGGUAAAAUCCGCUGAUCCAUUGAAGACCACCAGUGGCGAAGGCGGCUUGCCAGAACGCGCUCGACGGUGAGGGAUGAAAGCUGGGGGAGCAAGCCGGAUUAGAUACCCGGGUAGUCCCAGCUGUAAACGAUGCAGACUCGGUGAUGGGCUGGCCUUGUGCCAGCCCAGUGCCGCAGGGAAGCCGUUAAGUCUGCCGCCUGGGGAGUACGGUCGCAAGACUGAAACUUAA
rnacentral:rRNA from 1 species